rnacentral:rRNA from 1 species
CCUACGGGCGGCAGCAGUGGGGAAUAUUGGACAAUGGGGGCAACCCUGAUCCAGCCAUGCCGCGUGUGUGAAGAAGGCCCUCGGGUUGUAAAGCACUUUCAGGGAGGAAGAACGCCUGGUGGUUAAUACCCAUCAGGAAAGACAUCACUCACAGAAGAAGCACCGGCUAACUCCGUGCCAGCAGCCGCGGUAAUACGGAGGGUGCGAGCGUUAAUCGGAAUUACUGGGCGUAAAGCGCGCGUAGGUGGCUUGAUAAGCCGGUUGUGAAAGCCACGGGCUCAACCUGGGAACGGCAUCCGGAACUGUCAAGCUAGAGUGCAGGAGAGGAAGGUAGAAUUCCCGGUGUAGCGGUGAAAUGCGUAGAGAUCGGGAGGAAUACCAGUGGCGAAGGCGGCCUUCUGGACUGACACUGACACUGAGGUGCGAAAGCGUGGGUAGCAAACAGGAUUAGAUACCCUUGUAGUC